GACGAACGCUGGCGGCGUGCUUAACACAUGCAAGUCGAACGGUGAAGCCCUGCUUGUUUGGUGGGUUAGUAGCGAGUGCGUGAGACUUACGCGAGCUUCCCCUGCCUCUGGCUCAGCCACGAGAUACGGAAGCUGAUGCCUACUACGACUGGGCUCGGCCUCUAUGGUGUGUGGAUGGUUUGUCGGUUGGGGAUGGGCUCGCGGCUUAUCAGCUUGUUGGUGAGGUGAGGGCUCACCAAGGCGACGACGGGUAGCCGGCCUGAGAGGGUGACCGGCCACACUGGGACUGAGACACGGCCCAGACUCCUACGGGAGGCAGCAGUGGGGAAUAUUGCACAAUGGGCGAAAGCCUGAUGCAGCAACGCCGCGUGAGGGAUGACGGCCUUCGGGUUGUAAACCUCUUUCAGCUGUGAAGAAGCGAAAGUGACGGUAGUAGCAGAAGAAGCACCGGCUAACUACGUG
rnacentral:rRNA from 1 species